rnacentral:lncRNA from 1 species
UUUCUCCUAAAAUAUCUUAUUGUACUGUACUUGGCUUUUUUCGGACUGCAGUUGUCUGUGGGUAGCUGACAUGGCAGAAAGUGAAACUGUGGAUAAGGGGAGACUACUGUUUACCGAUAUGGAAAGAUCUCUAAGAUAUGGUAUUUAGUGAAGUAAACAAGGGGCAAACAAUGUAUAGGCUACCAUUUCUGUAAAAUGGUGGUGGGCUUCAGGAAAACACAGAUUUGUAUUUAUUCGCAUAUGCGUAAAAAAUGUCCAGUAGUGUACACAAGUAAGAAACUAAUAACAUAACAAUGGUCACUCCUUUGAAGGGUUUGGUAAUGGGUGCAAAAACUGUACAGAGGGGACAAUGGUAGCUGAGUAAGUUUUCACUGGAUUCCUUUCUAGGCUUUUGGUUUUGGACCAUGAGAAUGGCUUACAUAUUCAAAAGAGGUUGGAUUUGGGAAGCAAUGCUAAGCAGUGGAAUGGACAUCGACAUAGAGAGAUCAGCUCCACACUUAUACUCUGCCACUCAACUUCCCCAUGUGACUUGAGGAUCA